AAAGGGUAGGUAUGUCCGUGAAAAGGGCAGGUCCGGCUUCCCUCGUCCCUUCUGAAUAAAGAUUGUGCAGAUAUUUCAAGAUUCUUCGCCGGAAAGGACUUUCCUGUAUGUGUCCCUGCCAGUUAAACGUCCUUGGAGGAAAGUGUUCGUCCUAAGAACCAUGGACAGGCCGUGAAUCUGUAAAUUGUCCCAUCCUUCGGUAUUCACCACUACUGUGGCCAGUGGAAUCAAUACUGGCAGUAAACUGGUGCAAUGUAACAAGUGCAUCAAGAUACUGCGUGAUGAUUUCCCCACCAUGAUUAACUGUAACCUCAAAUGAGUUUGAGAAAGCAGUCUCAGCCAGAAAGAAACUAUGCAAAACUCAUUUCUCCUCUCCUAAAAGGAAAAUGGACUGAUUCUGCAGACCAAUUACAACAUUUCCAUUCUGGGAGCUCUUACAGAUGGUGACAGGAAAACAAGACUAUCUUUGCAAGACGACAGCAGUACGCCCGUGGACACAAUUCUCAGCCCCGUGUCGU